rnacentral:lncRNA from 1 species
GAGUGUGCAGAGUGCCUGAAUAGGCACUUGUCCCCAGUGUCCUCCGUCACCAGUGCACACCAAGUGCCAGAGGGGUAAGUGAGAGCAAAGUAGCACCCUGGAGCUCCCCGUCCACGACAGCUUUGCACCUCUGCAGCCCGUGGCUGCCACAGCAGCUCCCAUGCAACAGAGCAUCCUGUCUACUGCCACAGAAACACACAGCAGCAAGCAAGGUCUAUCUGUUGACAUUGGCUCUCCUGAGCAGAGCGUUGGGCCACGCCAGGAAGCUGAGUGUACGACUCUCCUUGUGUUUCCCACCUUCCCAGGGGUUAUCGCCUGUGAAAUCUCACACACACCCAUGGCAGAAAAGGUUUCUGAUGCAGAGGCAGGUGAAAGGUGCCCGCUGGUCCCACGGUGGAACGUUGUUUGCUCCAAUAUUUGAGGAAAGCAAACAGAGGGGGUGCCUGAACACAAACAGCCAUGGAUGUUUUUUUGCAGUCUUUGCCCUGCUCUAACCCCAAGCCCACCACAGACACUUGUAGGUGACCCCUCUGCUUCAUGUACCCCUUGGCUCUGCCCUGUGCACUGCCUGUGCCCACUGCUGGCCACGAUCCCACUGCAAAUACUGCUGUAUUUCAAAGAAGAUCACCCAGACGUUGCUGCUUGCGGGACCACCAUUGCUCACCACCCCUUUGCGCUCACUUUAGACGAACAUCAUUUUAAUGCCAUUUGAGACGUGUCAGCAGAAGACCAACUGAGCCCGUCUGACCCGCACACCUACACCUGCCCUGCGGAGCUCUCAAUAGCUCUCAGCUACUCCUCAAGGCUCCCCAGGCCUCGUGCUGCUCGCCUUCUGGAGCUGGAGCUCACCCCAGCCCUCCGUGCUCACUCCCAUUGUAAAAUGCCAUUGUACUUCCAAGUGAAGCUGCAGACCAGGGCGUGCUGCUGCCUGGUAAGCGCUGGGGUGAGGCGGGUGCCCCGGUGUGGUGGAAGCUGCAGCCCUGCGUACGACAGCAGGCACUGUCUUGACACUGAGCAGCAUCCGUGCAGCUCCCAGCAAUGCGGAGCAUCCCCUGCUCUUCCCCAAGGAGACCCUCUUCCGUUUUCCCGAAGCCUCAGGAUCAAGCCAAGGCACCUAAGCAGCGAUUGUCCCUUUUGCAUCCCAUCUGAUACCAGGGCUUAUUUCUGGGUGCAGCAAGACCCCGCUCAGCUGUUUCUUGCUCUGCUGAAGCUGCUCCCCUCAUCUGACCAAGCUGCCCGAGCAGCUCUGACAUCUCGCGUUAUUCAGCUGAUUUCCAAGGCUGCUUUACUGAGCUGGCCCUGCUGUGACCACCGGCCCUGGGGAUCCCUGGCUCUGAGACACUUCCAACAUACAAAGGAGAGGUGCUGCCCAUGCUGGGAUUGA